UAACAGGGCUAAGUUGGUUGCUGGGACAUUUGAGGGUUAUUUGGAGCACAUAGAUGGGAAACCAAGCGAUGCUUGCUUAAAUCAUUCGAAAGGCCUUACCAUGGAUGAUAAAGGGAAUGUUUAUGUUGCAGAUACUUCUAAUCUUGCUAUCGGGAAGAUUGGAGAAGCAGGUGUGACAACUAUUGCAGGAGGCAAAUCAAAUAUUGCAGGGUACAGAGAUGGGAUGCAAAGUUCUCUAAUGAUUCUGAUGUGGUGUAUAUUCGGCCUACUUGUUCCUUGUUAGUUGUUGAUAGAGAAAAUGCUGCUCUUCUGCAAAUUUCUCUUAACCAAGAGGACUGUGAUUAUUAGUAUAACUCAAUUUCUGCCUCAGGUUUGGAAACCUAAUUGUUGGCAUUUUGAAUUUGUAGACUCAAUUGGUGGCUUCGUCUUGUAUCACCGGUUUUAAUUCCCUUGGUCCUAAUGUGGGAUUCCAUUUUAGAGACGGUGGCUUUGAAUCUUGGACUAAUGAAAUCGCUUUGAGUAGCUAUGCGGUUGUCAUGUAUUUGUUUGAUUCUCAGUUUGAUGAUUUGAUUUUAUGAUAAAAUUUGAUUCUAUU